UUAAACCGUUUAACAACUCAACCCAUCAAAUUAAAUGAGUUAUGGGUUGACGCAACUCAUUUUAUUAAAUGGGUUGGGUCAACCUAUAACUCAUUUAGAUGAUUAUGAGUUAAAUUGAGUUGGGUU